rnacentral:tRNA from 1 species
UCCCUGGUGGUCCAGUGGCUAAGACUCUGCGCUUCCAAUUCAGGGUGCCUAGGUUCAAUCCCCGGUCAGGGAA